GACGAACGCUGGCGGCGCGCUUAACACAUGCAAGUCGAACGGAAAGGCCUGCUUUCCCUUGUGGAUUGCGGGUACUCGAGUGGCGAACGGGUGAGUAACACGUGAGUGAUCUGCCCCCAACUUGGGUAUAAGCCUGGGAAACUGGGUCUAAUUCCCGAUAGGACUGCAGGGUGGUGCCUGUGGUGGAAAACGAUUUUCUAGUGGUUGGGGAUGAGCUCGCGGCCUAUCAGCUUGUUGGUGGGGUAAUGGCCUACCAAGGCGGGGACGGGUAGCCGGCCUGGGAGGGUGGACGGCGACAUUGGGACUGAGAUACGGCCCAGACUCCUACGGGAGGCAGCAGUGGGGAAUAUUGCACAAUGGGCGGAAGCCUGAUGCAGCGACGCCGCGUGGGGGAUGACGGCCUUCGGGUUGUAAACUACUUUCGACCGAGAGGAAGCCACCUGGUUGGAAGGGUGGUGACGGUAGUGGUAGAAGAAGCAACGGCUAACUACGUG
rnacentral:rRNA from 1 species